UACGAAGGGGGCUAGCGUUGUUCGGAUUUACUGGGCGUAAAGCGCACGUAGGCGGAUCGUUAAGUCGGGGGUGAAAUCCUGGAGCUCAACUCCAGAACUGCCUUCGAUACUGGCGAUCUUGAGUCCGGAAGAGGUGAGUGGAACUCCUAGUGUAGAGGUGGAAUUCGUAGAUAUUAGGAAGAACACCAGUGGCGAAGGCGGCUCACUGGUCCGGUACUGACGCUGAGGAGCGAAAGUGUGGGGAGCGAACAGG
rnacentral:rRNA from 1 species